AGCAUACAAAAAUUUACAAUUAACUACAGAUUUUUUGGUAGUCUGGAAAACCUUGACAACCUCCAUUAUACGAUCUGUUGGAAAUUUGCAAGCCUUAUAUUUAAAAAAAAUGUUUCUGGUUUUAUAUGGCUUUCACCCCCCGCUAAAAGCAGCUAUUUUCUGCCCAAAACCCGCCAGCACUGCUUCAGACCGAGCUUACACACCCAGAGGAAAAGAGAGAAGAACAGAGAGCAGAGAAAAGGUGCUGGCCCAGCCAUAAACUUUGCACAUUUGCUUUUGGGCGCUAUCCAUGUUUUAUGGCCAUAAGCACACGCACACAUUCGGGCUAUGCACACAUGCACAUACACACACACAACAACGUUUUCCCAAAAUGGUCAAAACGGGCCAUUUGACGCGCGCAUUCGCACACGCGUGAAUUGUGUGUCGUUUUACUAUUGUCUGCUCUAUUGCCAUUUCAUUCACUCCGGUUUGAAUUUUUGUUGGAUUUUUAUUUGGCCUGACAUUGAUAUGAUAUCGUAUAUCGUAUAGGCAUAGGUAUAGUGCCUCUGUGCGUGUCUGUGUGCUGUGGCAGGGACUGGAAUUGGAUUAUGCCGCUUUUCGACCGGCGCUUUUUUUGUAACGGUCGGCGCGAGAGGCGACAAUCCGGCGCAGGCGUUGCACACUAACUGAAAUUCGAAAUUCGGUGACUUCGGGGCCAGGAGGCUUGGCUACCGCCACCGCCGCCGCCGCUGCCGCCUCACCUGGCUCGGCUGUCGCACCUGACCGAUCCGAGCUGCCAAUAAUCUGCGCAGCACUGACGAUUAUAAUUCAGCGCUUGCUUCCAAGCUCGCCAAGCCCCCUGCCAAAUGAGCUGCCACAAUCACCUACUUUGGAGCAGGAUAGUAAAACAUAUAUAUUUAAAGUUUUAUCCACAAUAUGUUUACUUACUCUAAACAAAAGUUUAUACAAUUCCGUUGCCUAUUUUUAACUGGCGCCAGAGCAGUUUUACCAAAAUACAAACGUUUGUAACCUUUAUAUAUUUCACUGCCUGCGGUUGCAAAUUUUCCUAAAGCCAAGUGCAGGGUGCCUUUCAUACGCUUCUAAUCACAAAGUUUUAAAAAAUAUAAAUUUAACCCAUUUUCCCACUUCA